GAAGGAAUUGAUUUCAUGUAUUCAAAACUUAAGAACUCAAAUUGUUGAAAUAGAAGAUGAUUUUUCUAAAAUGCAUUUAACAAGUGUUUUAUCUGUUAAACAAUGCAGAUUACAAAGACUUUCAUUUCGUGAAAAGUUAAAACAAUUUGAACAAGCAAUAUUAAUGUUUCAAGAAACAAAAGCAGUUCUAGAAGCUAGAUUAAUUAGAAUUCAAAAGAAAGCUGCUAUAAAAUAUAUACAAAAAAUGGAACUAGCAAAAGAGGAAUGUUUU